rnacentral:rRNA from 1 species
AAUUCCUACGGGGCGCAGCAGUGGGGAAUAUUGCACAAUGGGGGAAACCCUGAUGCAGCAACGCCGCGUGAAGGAAGACGGUUUUCGGAUUGUAAACUUCUUUUAUCAGGGACGAAGCAAGUGACGGUACCUGAUGAAUAAGCCACGGCUAACUACGUGCCAGCAGCCGCGGUAAUACGUAGGUGGCAAGCGUUAUCCGGAUUUACUGGGUGUAAAGGGCGUGUAGGCGGGAGUGCAAGUCAGAUGUGAAAACUAUGGGCUCAACCCAUAGCCUGCAUUUGAAACUGUACUUCUUGAGUGCUGGG